GACGAACGCUGGCGGCGUGCUUAACACGUGCAAGUCGAACGGGGUCCAUGCUGUAGCAAUACAGCGGAAGACUUAGUGGCGAACGGGUGAGUAACACGUGAGAAACCAACCCCGGUCUUUGGGAUAACAGGUGGAAACACCUGCUAAUACCGAAUGCCGUCGUUUCCUCGCAUGGGGAGAUGACGAAAGGGCUACCGGAUCGGGACGGUCUCGCGGCCUAUCAGCUUGUUGGGGAGGUAACGGCUCACCAAGGCAUCGACGGGUAGCUGGUCUGAGAGGAUGAUCAGCCACACUGGGACUGAGACACGGCCCAGACUCCUACGGGAGGCAGCAGUGGGGAAUCUUGCGCAAUGGGCGAAAGCCUGACGCAGCAACGCCGCGUGCGGGAUGAAGGCCUUCGGGUUGUAAACCGCUUUUACCAGGAAGGAAACUGACAGUACCUGGAGAAUAAGGUGCGGCCAACUACGUG
rnacentral:rRNA from 1 species